rnacentral:misc_RNA from 1 species
AAGUCGUAACAAGGUUUCCGUAGGUGAACCUGCGGAAGGAUCAUUACCAAAUCCAAAUACCCAACCCCAUGUGAACUAUUGUUUGUUGUCCUUUGGGGGAAUUGAGAAAAACAAAAGGCUUCUUUGUUUUCAAAAAAGUUCAUGUUCUUUUCGUUCCCCCAACAGAAUCCGGCACUCUAUGUGCUUGUGAUUCUUGAUAAACCACUUUUUUUUGUUUUGGAAUGAUUUUUAUUAAAACAUUUUUAAUAAAAGACAACUUUUAACGGUGGAUCUCUUGGCUCGU